UCCCCUUGUGAAUGACUUGGGAGUAUGGGGUGCUUAAUUGCUUCUCUGAAUCUCGAGACUUUAGUGCAUAUCAUGGUUUCUCAAUUCCUUUAACUGAGCUCAAAGUUAGACGACAUCACUGCCUUGUGUGUUGUUCCUUGGGUGACUUGCUUUAUUGUCGUCCUCAAACUGAACCAUGCCUGAACAAACAAGAAAAUCUUAUUACCUUCUGUAUCUGCUUUGAUCUCUUUUAAAGACCCUUUAACUUAAUUGUGGUGAUACCUCACGCUGUCCUGGAGAGCAGGAAUUGACCAGCUUCUGUUUUAUCAGCUUCAGCCCCAGGAAAUCAGCCCCCCUCCCACUGCCAACCUUGACCGGUCCAAUGACAAGGUAUAUGAAAAUGUGACAGGCCUAGUGAAGGCUGUCAUCGAGAUGUCCAGCAAAAUCCAGCCAGCUCCUCCAGAAGAGUACGUCCCUAUGGUGAAGGUAAAAUUCGAUCACUGUGUACGGUGGGGAUGGCUUCUUCUCCCAGUGAAGCCAGAGCUGAUGCUUUGGAUGUAAAGGCACCAGGUGGUGACAGUGUCACUGAGAAGCAUCCUAAGGAAUUGUCAUAGCUCUCACUUGCUCCUAUCAAUAAGUACUAGGCUGCUUCCUUGAAGCGUUAGAGUCUUCUCAUUACUGUUACUUUUAAGUUUAGUGGAGUGCACCUUUAAUCCCAUCACUUAGGAAGCAGAGGGAGGCAGAUCUCAGAGCUAAAGGACAGCCUGGUCUUCAGAGAGAGCUGCAGGACAGUCAGGGCUACACAGAGAUGGGGUGAGAGGUGGUUGGGAAUGGAGCUCUAACAGUAGGCCUAGCAUGGACAAAGUUCUGGGCUUCAUCCUUUGUGUCCUGUAAAUAGCAUAACACAUACCUGCUGCCCUAACAUCUGGAAAGAGAGGCAGGAAACUCAUUUCUUGGUAGUAUCUCACUCUACAGCUUAGUCUAGCUGGGUGUGAACUCAACAGGUCCUUCUCAUCCCACAAGUGCCAGGGUUAUGGAAGUACAAGGAUGAGCCACCAUACUUGUGUGCUCAUGCCUGGCUUACUAUAUGCUAGGGCAUACGUCUCCCACUCUCCAUCUCUUGCUCUCCCUCCUCCUCUCCUCUCUCUCUCAAACAGUGUUGCAUAUAACCUAGGCCAGCCUUAAACUUUGAGCAGUCCUUCUUCCUCAUUCUCAGAAGUGUUGAGAUUAUAGAUGGAGGCUACACCAGGCCUUUUCUUUACAACUUUUGGAUAGUUUUGAAUGCAGUGAAAUUGAAAACAUGCUCCCAAGUCAGGUCCACAUUGCUUCCAGGCAGGGAGAACCUCUCUUUAGCCAAAUUGAAUACACAGGGAGAAGGAUGUGUCCUUUGUCAGCUUGUCUGAACUGUGAGGCUAUCAUAAUCUACCUGGAAGCUCAGUGGAACAAAAAGAAAAGUGUUACUUUUUAUAUUGCUUAUGGGAACUUCUGAUGUGAGCAUCUGUCCUUGGGCAUUAGAGCAAAGGAUAGUUAGAUCUGAAUCUUCAGGGACAUGAGCCUAGAAACACGCAACACUGGUCAGUAUCAAGCACAGACAGAUAUAUGUUCCUCAUGGUGGCUCAUAUCGGUAUUCUCAGUAUUUGGGAGGCUGAAGCAGGAAAAUUAUGGUGAAUUUAGGUCCAGCCUUGGCUGCAGUCAUACUUU
rnacentral:lncRNA from 1 species